UACAGAGGUCCCAAGCGUUGUUCGGAUUCACUGGGCGUAAAGGGUGCGUAGGUGGCAUGGAAAGUUUGAUGUGAAAGCUCAGGGCUUAACCCUGAAAUGGCAUUGAAUACUGCCGUGCUGGAGGUUUGGAGGGGGGACUGGAAUUCUUGGUGUAGCAGUGAAAUGCGUAGAUAUCAAGAGGAACACCAGUGGCGAAGGCGAGUCCCUGGACAACACCUGACACUGAGGCACGAAAGCUAGGGGAGCAAACAGG
rnacentral:rRNA from 1 species